rnacentral:lncRNA from 1 species
UAUUUUUAUGCUAAAACAGAAAUUGGCAUCCCAGAUACUAAAUUAUAUUCAAAUUUAUAUUCAAGUUUAGGGUAUGUUGCAGCUCUAUAUCUUGCUGUUGCAAGUUGCUUUGCAUUUGAUGUUUGUUCUGGGAUAAAAUAUUGAAUUAUACCUUAAAUUAAUGUUUCGUGAAGUUCAGUUCAAAUUAAUAGAGAGAUGAGUGCAUAAAGUAUUUAGGGUAUUUUGAAGCUAAAUUUGUUUUAAAAUUCGUCAUUUUAGUGAAAUGAUGUGGAACACAAUGCGUUCUUUUCUACUCGUCCUGGUUGUUGUAAAGAGACAUCGGGCAUUGUAAUGAAUAGAUGAAAAUGUGUCGCUGGCAAACCUACACCAUGUGCAUUUCUUGGUGGAUAUCUUGGGCAAAUGUGCAAUAUGAUGGAUAUCUUGGGCAAAUAUCUUGUAUAAAUUGGUACAAUUACUUACCUUAAAUUACUAAAGAAGGAUGAUGUUUUAAGGUUAGUGGAUAUUUAUAAUAGUGAUAAAAUGGGGGUUCCCUGUGAAUAGGAACGAAGUAAGGCUGUCCAAUUAAGUGGAAACAAUAUUGCGGCGUGUAACAAUUUAAUCUGUAAAAAUGAUACAUGUUUAGAACAUGCAAAAAGCAAAAAUUGCGGCAUAAAUAUAUCACGAAACAUGCUUCUUACAACUACAUGCUAUGUUUAUAGGAAUUUGAAUAAGUUUUGAUAUAUAAUACCAUAAUGUAUAUAGAUUGUAAAUAUAUAGAUUGUAAUUUUUUUGAUAUAGAAAAUAAUAGAGUUCUUAUACAACUACAUGCUGUGUUGGGUUGUUAGGGUUGAAUAAGUUUUUAGCAGGCGUGAUUUAGGAUUUUUUUUAGGAUUUUCUAUAAAUUUAGUCUGUGCCCAGACUGUCCCCCCCCCCCCCAGGUCAAAAAAUAUGCCAGAUUUGUAAAUUCUACCAAAUCUAUUCAUACCAAAAAAUUAAAUGCUCUCUUGUGUGGCAAUGUCUGCCCAACAGCACCCAGAAACUUAAUCGGUAAAACCGGUAUACUCGUCUCAAAAUUAGCUAAGCAAAUUUAUGCAAGUAUAAUUUUGAAAUGAACAAAUAAAAAACUGCCGAUCAUAUUUUGCCGGUAGCUGUACGGCAUUAGCGUCGAAUGACAGCAGACUGUAAUCCCGUGGGGGAUUGCAACAUAAUAAUGCAUGUAAUAUAUGGUUGUACUUGUAAAAUUUAUAAUUGGUGCGUGACGAGUGAGGUUGAAGCGAGCAGGCGAAGCAGCAUUCUAAUAUGUACAGAUGGGGGGCGGUUGAAGUAAAUUUUAUUUAGGUAUUGCAUUGUCGUCAUGUGUGCUUGCUAUGCACAGAACAGACUUGCUAUGCACAGAGUGUCCCACAGCAGUAUGCAUAAGUUGUUGAUCAGGAAAAUAUAAUAUUUCACAAAAUAAAAAUUAUUAAAUAUAAAUAUAUAUAUUUCUUGUAACGUUUGGGACAACUUUGCUUUCUUUAACGUGUAGCAUAAUUUGUCUUUGUCAUUCUGUGCAAGUAUUCACGGCAAAGAAAAUAUGCAGGCAUUAAAUAUUUCCUGCAUUAUUUCUCAAUCCUUGCUCAAUGAGAAAAACAUACUUAAUUUUGUAAUAUAGGAAAAAAUAGAGUUUCUGUAAUAUGUAUGUAUCUGAAACAACUACAUGCUAUGUUGAUAGGAAUUUGAUGUUUUUAUUUUUAGUAGGCAUGAUUUAGGAUUUUUGUUUCUAUUCAUGAUUUUCUAUAAAUGGGGUGUCCAACUAAUUUGAGAUAUGUUAUGAAUUUAUGAUAUCUUUACCACAUAAAAGAGUGGCAGUGUCAUCACAACAGUAUAAAAACCAAUUACUGUGGGUGUGGGCUCUAUUUUACAAAUACUAUAUAAAUAUACAAUACCAUAAUUUACGAGAAUAAUUACAACUAUCAGGAACAACAAGAGAGUGGAGUAGCAAGACUAUGGAGAAGUGUUACAUUUCAAACAGAUUGAUUUCCAAGUCUGGGGAUUUUCAGAUUCAUAGUUUAUAUUGAUAGCAGUAAUGUAAUAUCUGUAUAACAUACAGUUGUUAAAUUUUUUAACGUCUCUCUGGAGCCUGCAGGAGGUGAGACCCUGGGAACGAGGAUGGGGCUCAUAUUUGUUCUUAAGAGUUUUUUGUUGGGCAUAUAGAUGGGAGGGGGGAGUCGUAUAUGGGGGUAUUUUGAUAUCGUAUAUUUCAAAAUCUAAGUUAGUCCUUUAUGAACACAAUAAAACUUAUUUGAGUGUAAUCGCUUUUGUACUUUUUGUUACAAUAAAAUAAAUAAAUCAAUAAUGUCAUUGCUGUUGAAAUGACUUAAUUCAUUACUAAUAAUACUAAAGCUUGUGUUGCUGAUAAUAUACCAUCCAGCGUCUAUUUUUUGGCAAAAUUGUUGCACAGACCAUAUUCCAAUGUUUGUGAUGUGACCAUUGCAUAUGGCUGUCAAAAACGUCAAGAUUAGUUAGAUUAUUGUUUUCUAAAACAUUGCACGGCUCGUGAUUUUAGAACUAUUUUUGUGCUUUAACCCAUUGAGUGGCAGCACUCUCCACUUGACAAGUAAAAUCCUGUGGCGUUAGAUAGUAAAAUACUAAAGUAGGGUGCAUCGGGGCACAAUGCAACUUAAGUAAAGGGUUAACCAAAACAAAGUUCAUAAAAAAAAAUUUUCACACAGUACCGGUACCAUGCCUGUUUGUAUUUUGAAAUUCCCAGAGUACAGCAUCUGAUGCACAAGACUUUGCUCUUGAUGAGUAAAAUGAUCUGAUAUCAGACAUUUGAGUUCCUUUGCAGCUUAAGGAGUUAAUCCUAUUUAUCUUGGAGAACAGCAGUUCAACUAUCUGGCUGGCUUGACAAAUAAAAUUAAGCAGGGGGUGCACUGGCAGUUAAUGGGUAACUAGACACUUGGGCAGUCUCAUUAUGAAGCAUAAAAUCGUCUGGCGUUGGACAGUAAAAUACUCAAGUAGAGCAUGCAUCAGGGCACAGUACAACCUAACGGUUUAAUUUGGGGGUUUUGUAGCAAAAUGGUUUAAGUUUUAUAUCUGAAUUAAUUAUUGUUUUUUUGCUUUGUUUUACAGAUCAUUACUGAACAUGCUGAUGAAAUAUUGAUUUAUAAAAUAUCAUGUUACCAAGAUGACAUGCCUUGAAGAGCAAUACAGGAGGGAAUACCUCUAUUUCUAAUCAAAUUACAACAACACACCAAAGACAGUAGUUAUGAUCACGAAGCUAUGAAUUUAAAGAAAAUGUACCAAACGACAAAGACGAUGAUGAAAUUGGAUGCCUCGGAUGAAAUAAAAGGAUUGAUCAAAAGUCCAUGGUCAGCAGUGGAUAUUUGUGACUAUAAUAAAUGGAUACAAAGAAACUAUGAUGGAUAAAUAUGGCCCCGUAAUGGAUAUUCAGUUAAUGGACAUACAAAGGUCACAGAAAUGUCCACUCUCAGGUACUGUUGUUUCUUGUUUGCCUGCGAACAGGCUGUAGAUACUUGUAUCCAGGCCAUCCAUUGUUUGUUUUGUUGUUCUGGAUACAAUGAAAUCCGGCAUAAAUCCUGGCGGUCUAAAUGUUCAGUAUAUUUACACAUUCGAUCUAUUUUCUGUUCAGUAGACUUUGAUAGCUUGAACGAAAGUUUAUAACGAUGAUUUUCUUUGCAAAAACUGUACUUUCGAAAUUCGUCAGCUUCUGAAUUUGAAAACCGAUCUGAAAAAAAAGAGGGAACAUUUGAGUGUAUGGUUAUUGCAUGGUUUCCCUCUGUGUAAAUAUACUGCCUUGGUGCAUACGCAUUACA